rnacentral:lncRNA from 1 species
UCCCUAGUGAUGCCUAGGAUAACUUGCAUAGGGCAGAUGCUCCUGAUGCAUCGUUUCCAAAGGGUUCCUGGCAUAGAACUCUGAAAGUUCUCCUGGAACCUGCCUAGAAGAACAGGAGUUUAGCCCUAGGGAAGCCCUCGCACAGCCUGCAAGCAUGUGUUUCUCAGGUGUAGAAAACACGCAGAGAGCCCCAGGAACCCGUGUGAGAACCAUCCGUGGGCCAGGCAAGCACAGUGAGGACAACUCUAGCCAGGUGGGCUGGAGAGAGAAUUCCUUCUGUGAGUGUUGCUCUAGAGCUCAGGAUGUCAAGUUUAACGACAGCAGUUGAUUUUCAAAAAUCAACCGUGGUUUCUUUCAGUCAUAAAUCGUUAAUUGAAAACCCAUCUUUUUUAUGACAGGAUUUAUCCUAAUUAUAAACUAAUCCCUGUUCCUGUGCUGCCUUCCUCUCAGGAUGCCACUGUCCAUAGAUGGAGGCAAUCUAAUUAUGGUCCUCAGCAGCCCUGGGCUGGGGGAUCACGGCAUCCUGCAGAUGAGGAAACUGAGCAGGACUCGUGACUCCAGCCAGGAAGGGGACUUUUGUGUUAGCAGAUCUGCUGCUCACACUAUGAAUCCUCUGAAUCCUGGGCACUAUUGGAACUCCUAAUACAGUGAAUGUCUGAAGAAAUUUACACGGCAACAGUGCAGAGACAGCCAGCUGCCAGAACCCAGCUGGUUAGAAUCCUUCCCAGAGGUCGGUGCUCCGUGGAGAACAGAGGCCCUGCCCAGAGAUCAUCAUGGAUCUGUUCACAAUCUGCUGCUGCAGAAAUAGCAGCCAUAUCAAUGUACUCAUGUCCCUGGGGCUGGACAGACUGAUGGGCCCAUCUGCAGGGCAGGAACAGCCGGAAGAGAAAAUUGAGCAAGAAACUAAUGAAGAGCUGGAGGAGAACCAGGAAACAGAGGAUUUGGAAAUAACGUGAAUUUCAAAAGAACAAGUCCAGUUACUCAAUAGGGACGGAAAACCUAUUGGAAACUUUGCGAAGAACGGUCCAACUUCCCAAGCAAAGAGUGUGUCCAUACCUUAAAGAAAUCACAACUGGGCUGCUACAUCUGUUCACAUUGGGACUUCCAUCCUGCCCCCCUCACAGGGGUCUAAGGAAUACGUGGGAAGCCUGUGGAAAGUUCCUCAUGCCUCUUCCGUUUGCCCCUUCCUGGCAUGUGAACAGAAGAGCAAGAUCCAACGUUAACAGAGCAGGGGUCAACCAUAGUCUUCAGGGAGCCCCGUGGGUAGACUUGCUGAAACUUUGAGCACCAGUGCCUUCCUCUUUCCCCUCCAAGGCCCCCAAGGUAUUUCCCAAUCUGCUCUUCACCACCAUAAAAUGAGUCACAUAAUUAACUCAAUUCCAAAGUACUAUUAUCCAAAUCAAUAUAUUGUGACUUUGAGUUAUCAGGAAAUUCAAUAAUUUGCUCCACUUAUUUUUCCAAGGAAAUACUUGACUUUUUUCUUAAAAAAAUCUUUGUCAAUCUUAGGACAUAAGAAAGAUCAUAAUUUUUAAACGUUCUGAAGUGAAGAAUGUAUGUAACCAGUAAAGAAUAGGAAUGAAAUGUAUACCUAAAAACUAGAAGAGGGGGAAAAAUGGCAUAGAAAAGUUGAUUAAUUUAGUAAAAGGCAGGAAAGGAGAAAAUCAAUGACACAAAAUAAGAUGAAAAUAAUUAAAUAUCUCAGUAAUUAUAAUCAUGAAUCAGUUACACUCACCAGUUAAAAGACAAGGGUUGUAAAAAUUAGGUUUUAAUAAAUUCAGCCCUAUACCACUUACA